GCAAAAGGAACGUGAAAAGAAUUAUCGGAGGAACAGAGACGCUGCCCUACGAGUAUCCCUGGCAAGUGGGACUUCUUUUCAGUAAAGAGUAUCCUGAUCUAAUGUGUGGAGGAUCAAUCAUUGGCCCUUAUCACAUCCUUACAGCUGCACAUUGCAUCUACGGACCAAAAUUCAGACACGGGCAAAGAUUUCGCCCACUGGUGGCUAUCGGGUUGCAUGACUCCAGGAAACCAUCAGCUGCAACUAAGUACCUCAACAUCGCUAAGAUAACACUCCUCCGGGGAUAUGACAAUAAGACCAUUGCAAAUGACAUUGCAAUUCUCAAAACAGAACAGCAAAUUCCAUUCGACAUCAAGAACACUAUUUCGCCAAUCUGCCUUCCCGAAGACCCAAACAAUAAG